AGUGUAAGCAGUGGUUGCGGCAUCAUCGCGAGCCCUGGUCGGAAAUAAUAGAAAACUGGCGGGUUACACACAGUCUGCGUCGCAGAGACCUAAAGUCGUGUAAAACCGCUGAGUUAUUCUGUGAGUGGCCCCUCCUAAAGCAUAGUCUUGCAAACCAGCUGGUAAGUUUGAUUUCAUUUUUCAUAUUUUUUGUAAGAUAUAGUUUCUCUUUAUUAUUAUUUAUUUUUAUAUCGGUGUUAUUAAAUGAUUGUAAUUGUCAUUCUGAAUAUUUUCAGCUCGAUAUUGAUUUCGAUAUUCUAUUUCCUGGGAAGAAAUAUUUGCUGCUGGAGAACUGGGAUCUGCGAGUGGAAAAGCUUCUUCCCAUAUUAGACAAGGAAAUAAAGGAUGCUACGUGUCGCGAGUAUCUGGAAAGAAUCAAAGAGAAGGACAUCUCACAAGAUGAGAGAGAUCUAUUAAUUCUGAGAGCGGUCCAUGGUCUUAUUAAGCCAACACACUACCCCAAGAAAGGCAACAAGCGGUUCAAACCUACGAUAGUGGACUCCCAGAAGAGUUUGUGCCUUGAACUCACGGGAUUUGAUAAACUAAACGAUUCCUUGAAAAAACUUUAUGAAUCCGCUAAAGAAAGAGGUGAAACAGUCCAGCCAUUCAUUCUGACAGAUCAAUCAAUGAAGGAAUUUGUAACUUAUUACGAUGAUCAUUACUUCAAGAGCAGUUCCUUCAAAGCAGCUCUUGAUUUAACUUUUAAGAUCUUCUAUGUCUUUGACACUCAAUAUCCGAUUCAAUGUAACUCUGUAUGGAAAUUCAUUCAGUACUAUUUCUACAAUAUCACUGAUGAUAUUGAGAAUUCUAUGAUUACGAGCCUAAUAUCGCGAAUUAAUUUUGAAAAGUAAAAUGAAAAGAAAAAAACUUAUAACGUACUUUUAAAAAAGAUUAAUUUUCCUAAUAUGUACAAUUAAGUUAUUAGAUUUAAAUGUAAAAAGAAUUAGUAUAAACAAUUAAGUGGGGAGCCUACAUUAAAAAGACAAAACUUAGCUGUUUUUUUUUACCUUUUUUAAGGAUAACAUUUAAAAGGAUAUAAAUUCUUAUGCAUUCAGUGGGUGCCAAUAGUUUGUUGCCUAAUGUUUUAUUAAGAAAUCAAGUGGAAAAAUGAUAGAAAAAAUUACUUUUCCAAAUUUUUGUUUUUGAAAAUAAGGUCCCUGUAAUCCGUAGACCUUCUUUAUAUAUUAAAACAUAAAUAAAUAAUUUUAUUUCAUAUAAAAAAAUAAUUGUUUUCCAAAAGCGGCCAUUUUUUAUACGUCCAAAGUUUGUUACCUCAUUGCCUCAUUUAAAAAAAUAACUCAAAAUCGUCAAAACAUGCAACUAACUUAAGGCAAACCGGUUAUAUUUUGAGUUUGCCGAUUAUUAACUCAGAGGGUUAAUAAUCGCAUUAUGAGUAUCUCUGAUAGCAACCGCAUGAUGUCUGCGCCUAAAAUUCAAAAUCAAUGGGUCAGAUAGAAUACAGGCUUCAAAAUCAACGAAAGUGGUAAGAAUGAUUACAUGGUUUGCAAAAUUCCAUUGGUAAACAAAACCAAUCUGGGUAGGGUGGAGUAACCACUUAUCGCCACUUUUAGGAAAAACUGAAAUAAAUUUAAUUAUAAAUUUUAAAACCCUUAUUAUGAAAUAACUUAAAUUUGACACAAAGUUACUUUGAUAUGUUUUCUAUUGAUAUAUCAAACUAAUACUCCCUCGAUUUAACGGUGGAUUACUUAAAAAUAUAUAUUUUUAUUAAAAAUUCAAAAAUAACCACUUCUCGCCACCUACUUGAAAAGGUUCAAACUCAAUUAUUUUGGACAAUAUUAUUAAAAAAUAUAUUCAGCGUUGCUUUUUCUUCCUGAUAUCCUUUUUAUUACUCAUAUUAUAUAAUUUUUCUUCGAUUUAACUAUAGGUGGCGAGAAGUGGUGACACCACCCUAAAAGUUUGUAGACUUACUUAGAACAUGCAAAAAAAAGCAAAAAUACAACCUCUCUUGGAAGCUAGUGAGCAACUAUACUUUCGAUUGAUUAUGGAAACAUUUGAAACCUGGGUUCCUUCUGAAACUAACUAGCUCUGAAUUUUUUGCCCGACAUCAUGAGAAUACUGAUACUAUCAGAGAUACUUGUACUAUGGUUAUCAACCCUCUGAGUCGAAUCCAUGAGACUACCAGUAGCUUCUUAUGAAUAUACUUGUACCUCUUCACCAUAAAUUUUGAAUAUAUUAUAUAUACACUGACGUGAUUUUCCAUAAAAUUAAACAAUUAACAACGCAGAAUCUUUCUGGUAGCAUUUCUGAAUCAUUUAAGAUCUUUUAACUUUUUAUAAUUUGCAAUUUUUUACCAAAAUUAUAAAUUACAAAAAAUCAUUUUUUUUUGUUAUUUAUCAUGAUUUUUAUAUAUGUAUAUUUACCAUUGACAACUUUAGAAAUGUAACAAACCCACUAUUUAGCUCUUAAAUUACAUAAACUCAAAAUAUGACAGGUUUGCAUUGAGUUAGUUGCAUGUUUUGACCAUUUUGAUUUACUUUUUCAAAUGAGGCAACAAACUUUUGACUGAUCGAAAAUGAUCAACUUUUGGAAAAUAAUUACCAUUUUUUAUAUGAAAUAGAAUUGUUUAUUUUUUUUAAUAUAUAAUCAAAUCUACGGAUUAGACCUUUAAAAAAAAAUUUGGAAAGGUAAUUUUGUUUUUUAUAAUUUUUUCCACUUGGUUUCUCGAAAAUACCUUCGGCACUCACUGUCUUUAAAGCACUUAACUUUUUUUUGGACAAAAAUAUUGCUAUUUCUUCUCUUAUUAGAAUUAAAAAUAAAAAUGACAAGUGGAGAGAAAAGUGUUUCAAAAUUUUAAAUAUUUGCUCCAGCGCUUGGAAAGCUGCUCAGCACUCCUUUACAUACGCCUCUAUGUCUUGAAAAAUACUUAGAAUUUUCUUCUGCAAUCUUAAGGUAUAAUCUUGGAGAAUUUGUUUGUAUAUUUAUGCAAGUUUUGAUCUUGUAAUUGAGGC